AGGGCAAGCUGAAUCUGCUUUUGAAAAGAAGUUAGAGAUGUGGUUUGGUACUUGGCUAAGUCGACGAUUUGAAUUUCACUGGAACGUGAAGCCUUAGAGGGUGAUAGCCCCGUAGAAGGAGUCGAUAUGUUGAGCCAUAAAAAGAGUAGGGCAUCUUGGAUUAGAUGUCUGAAUAUAGGAGAAUUAACUCCUAACCCUAAAUAGCAAUUUAAGUCCGAUAGUGAACGAGUACCGCGAGGGAAAGCUGAAAAGUAUCCUCACAAGGAGGUUAAAAGACUUGAAAUCUAACAGUUACAAGAUAGAUACGGCCUUACGGGGUUGUAUCGUAUGUUUUGAAGAACAGGCCAGGGAGUUUACUUUUGUGGCGAGGUUAAUAAAUGAAGCCAUAGCGAAAGCAAGUGUUAAAGCGCGUUAGUCACGAGGGUAAGACCUGAAGCCAGAUGAUCUACUCCUGAGCAGGUUGAAGUUUUUCGAAAGAGAAAUGGAGGACCGAACCGUUGUUACGUGCAUGUACUCGGAUGACUUGGGAGUAGGGGUGAAAAGCCUCUCUAAUCUGGCGAUAGCUGGUUCCUGCUGAAAUAUGCCUAGGUAUAGUUGAGUAUUAGUUCGUUUAUGGGGUAAAGUUACAGAUAAGUUUUGCAGGGUCAUAUGACUACGGAAACUUUUCUAACUCAGAACCUAUAAACUGCGUUAUAUACUCGAAACAGCGACUGCAUGUAAGAUGCAGUUACGAAACCCGAACAAGGGAGCCCGAAGUUAAGGUCCCAAAAUAUUUGUUAAGUGUAACGAAGGGAGUUUUUAUUCUGAGACAGUGGGGAGGUAGGUCUAGAAGCCGCCAUCCUUUAAAGAAAGCGUAACAGCUCACCUAUUGAGAAUAGAAGCACCGAAAAUGGACGGGGCUAAAACAAACUACCGAUACUUCGGAUGCACUCCGGAUGGAGUGUUAUGGUAAGCAGGCGUACUAAUUGCGCAGAAGAUUUUGUGUAAACAAGGUUGGAGCGAUUAGUAAUGCAAAUCCUGGUGGGAGUAGGAUCUAAUCUUCCUGAGAACCGGAAGAUGUCGAAAGAGCACGGUUUCCUCAGCACUAACAAUUAACUGAGGGUUAGUCGGCCACUAAGUUCUACCUUAACUGGAUAGAACGACGAAUAUCAGGUUAAUAUUCCUGAACGGAUUAUAUUUGCUAAGUUCUUAGAAUCGCUUUCGGAUAGGCAGAAUAUCGAGAGGUAUAAAGAUCAAGAAAUCUAUGGAUGGUAAUCGCGAGAAGUAGAAGAAUUGUCUUGAAUUUGCUGAUUCCAGGAGUCAAUGAAAUCUCUAAGAAAUAGAAUGUAAUUCGCCGUACCUAGAACUGGCACUGGUGCUCUAGCUGAGAAGGCUAAGACAUGAAAGGUUAAACAAGUUAAGGGAAUUCGGCAUAAAUAGUCCCGUAUCUUCGGUAGAAGGGAUGUCUAUAUCUUUCCAUGAUUCAUUAUGGGGGGAAGUAGAUCACAGUAACAAGGACGGCACGACUGUUUACCAAAAACAUAGCUGAGCGCAACUCCGAAAGGAUAUAUAUGCUCGGUGAAGUCUGCCCAGUGGUGGUGUCUAAAUGCGUAUUUCAAUACGUGGAAAGCCCAUCAAACGGCGGGCCUAACUAUGAGGCUCUUAAGGUAGAAACGCUGCCUUACGGUGCGAGAAAUCGUAACGCUUUAAGCCACAUAGGGUAAAACAGAAGACUAUUAAUUAAUCGAAUAAACCUAAAAAGAAAAUCAAGCUAAAUGCUGGAAACUCCGAGUAUCUCACUAUACAACGACGACAAAAUUAUUUAAAGUCGGAUCGCGUGAAAAUUAGAUGAGUGCGGACAAUCAGCAGGAAAGACUAAAUGCUUCAUGGAUUGUUGGUUUUACAGACGGAGAAGGUUGUUUUCACGUCUCUUUAAACAAGAAUCCGAAAAUGACUUUAAACUACCAAGUACUUCCAGAAUUCCGAAUUGUCCAAAAUAAAAAAGAUGAACAACUUCUAGAAAAAAUCAAAGAUUAUUUUGGUUUUGGUUCAAUCAGAAUCAAUAGAAAAGAUCAUCAUGGAACAAGAAUGGAAUUCAGAGUAAGGGGGAAGGAUAAUAUUGAUAAAAUAAUAAACUUUUUCAAAAAGAAUCCACUUCAAACAUCUAAAAAAGAAGAUUUCAGAAUUUUUUCUGAAAUAGUUGACUUGAUGAAAGAAGAAAAACACCUCACUAUGGAAGGACUUAAAGAGAUAAGAUUAUUGACCUAUAAAAUGAAUAGGAGAAAACAUUUAGAAUCCUCAGAGACUAUACGCUUGACACAAAGUAAUUUGUGAAGAUAGAGUCCGAACUAUAUGGCGACAUAUAGAAUUGAGAUACUUCAUUUGAAAAAAUCUCUAAUUAACAUAAAUGAGCGUAAUGCCUUGUCGUCUGAAUGGCGACGUGCAUGAACGGCUUAACGAUGUUGUCACUGUCCCUAACUUGAACCUUCCGAAAUCAUUGACCGGUGAACAGACCGGUAUCUUCUAGUGGGAAGCGAAGACCUUAUAGACCUUUACUACAACCUGUUGUUGUGGUUCUAUUAU
rnacentral:rRNA from 1 species